CGAGAAAACUAUAAGUCUGUCUGUCGCAAAGCUAUGCUUUAGAUCUCACUCGCACUGCGUUGUGAAGUGACAUCUCCAGAGCUCUGCAUUAAUAAAAGGCCACAAGAGAUCCCACUGAAUCUGGUUAAACAGGAGACGAUGUGGUGGGAAGCCCUGAGAUACUGUAGAGAAAAUGCGAGACACGUGGUCCACCCUGAGCAGAGGAAAAACCUGGCUGGAGAACAGCUGAGUCAGGUUUACAACCCAGAGAACCGAUGAGUUGGAUUUACAACCCAGAGUCAUCUCAAUGAAAUAAAUCACUGGGCAGACAGCAAAGUCUCUUUUAGGUUGGCGGAUGAAGUCUAAUUCAUCUAUAAUGGUUGUGUUGUUUCUGUGGUCUCCCCUCCUCAGUGCAGUGUCCUAUAGGUGGAUGGAGGAUGAGGUUGCUGAAUAGAUACAGACUGUUGGAUGGAGAGACUACAUGGUCCUGGAGAAUGGGGCUCCUAAACUCUUCACUGCUAUCUCUUUCCCAUCUGGCAUUAGUCAUUUUCCAUCCAGAACAAAUACUGAUCUUUAGUCUGGGUCUUCUGUGGAACUUGUGUUGUUGUAUCUGCUUUAGAAGAGUCUGCAUCUUUAUGACUUAAAUGACUAUAAGAGUUGUAUUUGUGAAUUGAUUCUUUUACUGGAAACCCACAAAAGUCCAAGUAGUUCACUGUGGCAGGGAGACAGGGGUAUGACACAAUAAUCAAUAAUCCUUUUGAUUAUUUAAUAUCAAAAACAAAAACAAACAGUUUCAGUUUUGCUUGCCUUCUUUUCUCUUUCAGCAACAUAAAUAUUUUCAGUGGUAAGACUCUGUGUGAAGUCUCUAUCUCUCUAGAUCCAGGCACUUACUGAGAGAAAAGUCUGUAUAAAAGGUGUGGCCAAAUGUAAUCACCCACUGGUUCACUGUCUAUGCCCUGCAGUAAUGCUUGGCCACACCCAUGUUGCCACAGUAACCUUUUCGCUUUUAUAUUGCAGAGGCAGGAAGAGGAGGCAGGUGUUAUGUUAUUUUGCUAUGUUAUUUUUCUUGCUGGAGGUUUAGUUGUUUUUGUCAUUCAGUAAGGUGUGUUUUUUGUCAUUUUGGAUACAUAUCUAUCCUUGACAUUUGUUCAUUCUUAUGAAGAAAGAAAUUAAA